CUUAAAUUACAGUGAACUUGGCACACCACUUCUGAAAGGUUGCCGACCCCUGGCGUAGAGUGAACAGUGAACUGUUCCAGCCAUGAAUACAAACCCCUGGAAUUGGGCUGCCAGUGGAAUGGAGACAGUGUCUCACUCCACAGCACUAGAUGACAGGACCACAGUUAAAAAGGCUCAUCACUGUGUGCUAGAAUUCUGUGAUUGCAAAUCCGUGGAAUAAAUUUAAUGGUUCAGUGGGGUAGUAUUGUAGAGCUGGGCUUGGAAAGAUAUUUUAGAUUUUAUCAAUGUUCAUGGGUAACAUGCAUGUUUGUUUGCAGUAUGGCAAAUCUGAGAUGGGCAAAAGAAUCCAGUUAUACAAAUAUCUUGAAGCCGUUUUUCCAUGGCUCUCCAAUACUCCUCUAAGAUAUGACUCUUGAGUAAGUCCUAUUGUGAUUUCUAAUUCAUACACCCCUUCAGUCCUGCUAUGUUAACUGUAGCCCUGGCAGCUUUGUGAUGAUUGGGCUACAUCCAUCACUGAAUUCAAAAGUCACAUGCUUUAAGGCUUACAUGAUUUACAGUACAAUACUUACAUCAGAGCAUUGGAGAUUUUAACUCAGUGGGAGCCAGGGACUAUCAGAGGCCGCCAGAGCUGCUGGGUUCUGCAAUCAGUUCUUUCAAAAUAUAGAGGAUACAGGUGUGUCUGGGAUGUUUAUGAUGGAGGAAGAAGCAGGUCUGUUGGGAAAGUCAUGGGGAGGAAGGAAGACGGCGCAGGUGGGGUUAGGAGCUGGCAGUGCCUCAUCCAACAGGAGCAGAACCACAGCCAUGGCUGACAUUGCCAAGAGUUCAGAACAGUUCUGCUGAAUGCUGCUGUACCUGUUCCUGUUUCCAUGGAAAUGGACAUUGGCUAAAUGGGAUUUCCAGGACCCUGUGGGAUGGCAAGUUUGUCUGCCACCUAGGACUCCCAAAUCAUGGACCAGGACUCCAUUGUGUUAGCGGCUGUACAGGCAUAGAACAAAAAGGUGACUAACAAGCAGACCAUCAGGAACACCACUCUCCCGAAACUGGCAUUGUCCCUGGCCUGUUGUUGUGAUGGUGUAGCAAGAUGCAAAAAGGUAUGUACUGAUGAUCAGGUUGCGCCCCUAUACAGAUGUCCUGGAUUGGGACCUAUGCAAGGAACACUGAUGCUAGCCACAUCUGGAGGGACCUAAGGCACAGUCUUGUGUGUUGAACCAUGUAAGUACAUGCCGUCAUGUGCCCCAGUAGCUUGAGGCAAACCUGACUUGUCGUAAUUGGGUGGACCAUGAUAUUGGAUAUUAGGUCCAACAUAGUCCGGAAUCAGGCCUCUGGUAGGAAGGCCCUGGCUUGGGUCAAGGUGAGCAUCACUCCAAUAAAUUCUAUACUCUGAGCCAGGACAAGAGUUGACUUCUGUUCGUUUAGCAGCAAGCCCAGUGUUCAGGAGGUGGCUUGGACCACGCUGAUGCUGAUCUGAACUUGAGUCUGUGACCAACCUUUGAUCAGCCAGUUGUUGGAAAUAUGAGUAGACCUAGAUGCCUCGCCAUCUGAAGAAGGCUGAUAUUACCAUCAUACACUUUGUGAAAACCAGGGGCUGCCGAUAGGCUGAAGGGAAGAGUGGUGAAUUGGUAGUGGCACUGACCCACAACAAACCUGAGAAAUCUUCUGUGGCCACGGAAGAUAGAAAUGUGAAAGUAUGCGUCCUUUAAGUCGAGGGUAGCGUACCAGUCUCGGCUAAGGAGAUCACGCAGAACAUCAGUUUCUUGAGAUAUCUGAGUAGGCGAGACAGGUCCAGAACAGUCUGGAAGCCGCAUUUGGAAUUAGGAAAUAUCAUGAGUAAAACCCCUUUCCUCCCUAGUCUUGCGGAACCUCCUCCACAGCCCCCAUUUGUAGGAGAGAUUGCACCUCCUGGACAAGCAGUUGCUUGUGAGAAGGGUCUCUGAAGAGAGGUGGGAGGGAGGGGCGGAUAAAAUUGAAGGGUAUAACUGACUGUCACUGUACUUAGAAUUGAACAGUCCGAUGUUAUCUAUGACCAUGCUGGGCUGAAAUGGGACAGACGGUCCAAAAAUAAAAAGGGGAGAUGGAUCUGAAGCAGUGACUGGUAAUAAUGCCCUCAGGUGCACCUUCAAAAGGCCCUUGAGUACCUCUGAGACCCCAGCUGGGAGGUUGAGGUGGAUAGAAGUGGUUGGCACCACUUAACCUCUCCCUUUUCUUUUGUAGGGCUCUUGUCUUGGAGGCACCAAGAAACGUGGAGGCUGCUGGGGCCUGAAGUGCUUCCUGGAAGCCAAUGGAGCAUAAAGGCCUAAAGAUUGUAGGAUGGCCCUUGAGUCCUUCUGGCUGUGAAGUCUUGAAGGGGAAGUCCUGGAUGGACUGUUGGACAUUGUGAGGAAGCCCCAAGAAUUGGAGCCAAGAACACCACCUCAUGGUGACAGCGGAGGCCAUUGUCCUGGCGGCCGAGUUGGCUGCAUCCAGAGCCACCUGGAGAGUGGUCCUGGCCACAUCUUACCCUCUUCCAAGAGGGCAGUGAACUCCUGUCUUGAAUUUUGGGGCAGAGAGAGUUUUUAAAUUUAGCCAGGGAGUACCAUGGAUUAUAAAUCGUAUCUCUCCAGCAAAACUCGCUGGUUAGAGAUACAUAGUUGAAGGCUACCCUUUGAAUAAACCUUUCUGAAAAAGUCCAGUUUUUUGGCGUCCUUUUGUUUACGGGUAGUGCUCGACUGGCCCUGCCUGUCCCUCUUGUUUGCUCCAGACAUAACCAGGCACCCUAGAGGAGGGUGCGAAUACAAGUAUUUGAAUCCACUCGCUGGCACAUAAUACUUCUUCUCUGCCCUCUUUGAGAUGAGGGGCAAAGGAGGAGGAGUUUGCCACAGGACCUUGACCGGUCCUAUCACAGUCUCAUUGAUGGGUAAGGCCACCUUGGAGGGAGCUGCUUCAGCCAGGAUAUCAAUAAGGCUGUGUGAUGUCUCUUUAAUGUCCUCAAUUUCCAGACCCAGGUUUGCUGCUGCCCGCUUCAGGAGGUCCUGAUGGGCCCUGAAAUCAUCAUGCGGAAGGGUCCUGCAACAGCCUCGUCUGGAGAGGAGGAGGAGGCUUGCACCAGAGGAGGGGAUCCCUCUUCUUCUUUAGCCUCAAUGACGUCCACCAGAGUCAUCUCCUGAACAUUGUUACAAGGGUCAGUUGGGGGCCAGUGCCAGCAGCCCAUCUCUCGGAAACCACCGAGUAGAAACUAUGGGAGCGAGGACCCGGUGCUGGGAGGGAAUCUCCCAGGGGUUCCAGUAAGGCCACUACAUUCGUCAGUGACUUACUGGCCAGGUGCCAACAGGGGGACUGGUACCGAAGUCCAGUGGCACAUAGGCUGAGUACCAGUGUUGAACCUUAGGUUGCAUAUACGGUUUCCCUUGGAACUAAGAAGAGGAAUUCUCUCUUGGAGCAGUACCUGAUUCUGCCACCAUGUGGUGCCAAGGGUCCAGGGACCAGCAACGGACCAUGGAUGGUUGGGACGCUGGGAUCAGGGUUGGCUUGCCACUAGAAGGUGCCAAGACGGAGCUCCUUGUUCCUUCCUGCUUCUGGAUAUCAGAGCUGGAAGGUGUCCCAAUAGGGUUGAGGGGACCGGGAGAGAAAGUAGGUCCCUUGCCACUUGGAAAGCUUCUGGGAUCAACAGAACAGUCAGACUGCUGGUGCCACAGUGGCUUCCGGGUGUCGUCGGAGGGUCCUGCACCAGAGUCAACAUUCUAGGCAGAAUCAAC